rnacentral:rRNA from 1 species
UGGGGAAUAUUGCACAAUGGAGGGAACUCUGAUGCAGCGACGCCGCGUGAACGAAGAAGGCUUUCGAGUCGUAAAGUUCUUUUAUAUGGGAAGAUAAUGACGGUACCAUAAGAAAAAGCCCCGGCUAACUACGUGCCAGCAGCCGCGGUAAUACGAAGGGGGCUAGCGUUGUCCGGAAUCACUGGGCGUAAAGGGUUCGCAGGCGGAAAUGCAAGUCAGGUGUAAAAGGCAGUAGCUUAACUACUGUAAGCAUUUGAAACUGCAUAUCUUGAGAAGAGUAGAGGUAAGUUGAAUUUUUAGUGUAGCGGUGAAAUGCGUAGAUAGUAAAAAGAAUGCCGGUGGCGAAGGCGACUUACUGGGCUCAUUCUGACGCUGAGGAACGAAAGCGUGGGUAGCAAACAGG